GAUGAACGCUGGCGGCGUGCCUAAUACAUGCAAGUCGAGCGAACAGACGAGGAGCUUGCUCCUCUGACGUUAGCGGCGGACGGGUGAGUAACACGUGGAUAACCUACCUAUAAGACUGGGAUAACUUCGGGAAACCGGAGCUAAUACCGGAUAAUAUAUUGAACCGCAUGGUUCAAUAGUGAAAGACGGUUUUGCUGUCACUUAUAGAUGGAUCCGCGCCGCAUUAGCUAGUUGGUAAGGUAACGGCUUACCAAGGCAACGAUGCGUAGCCGACCUGAGAGGGUGAUCGGCCACACUGGAACUGAGACACGGUCCAGACUCCUACGGGAGGCAGCAGUAGGGAAUCUUCCGCAAUGGGCGAAAGCCUGACGGAGCAACGCCGCGUGAGUGAUGAAGGUCUUCGGAUCGUAAAACUCUGUUAUUAGGGAAGAACAAAUGUGUAAGUAACUAUUCAUGUCUUGACGGUACCUAAUCAGAAAGCCACGGCUAACUACGUG
rnacentral:rRNA from 1 species